rnacentral:hammerhead_ribozyme from 1 species
AUUACUGACGAGUCCCAAAUAGGACGAAACGCGCGUCCUGGAU